CAAAGCCCUCCCUCCGGAAAGCAGGGAUCAGAAGGGUCGAGGACAUGAUUUUGCACCGUCAUAUAUCUCUCUUUUAUUAUUAACCGAUUCGAAGAUUUAUAGAUUUCCCGGAUUCCUGUUUAGCAAAGGCGCGACUACAUUUUAACAUCUCGGAAACUCAUUUACCGUAACAAAGAUCUCGACUUCUUUUGUUUAUUGGAGUGAGGAGGAGGGGGAGGGGUGGAGAAAAAAAUGGGGGAUUGCUUUCAUUGUCUACAACCGUCCAAACUGCGGUGGUCAGAUUAAUUGUGACCUUUUCUUUCUAGCUGGGUUCCAAAUAUCGUAUAAGCAAAUUCUUUCAAUGUUACCAGCUUGUUGUUUUCCAGCUUGAUCGAAUCGUUGCAAUGGAGAAUUUGCUGAGAUGUUUCUCAAGGGCAUUCUGGAGAUUUAUCUUUCAAUCUCAACGUGAAGACCCGAGCAAGACAGAUCAAGCUAAUCUCCACCCAACCCUCUCGUACCCUGUUAUUUAUUUGCAAGAAGGAUGCAAACUAUCGAGGAAAAUACGAUGAGAUCUGUGGGCUGAAGAAUUCAUGUUGGCCGAAAUAAAACCGAACAUUUUUGUAAUUUUUUAAAAAGUACAAACUAAAAGGCAGUGAGGAGAUGGGUGUUUGAGCCGUAAUGGGGCUCGUUACUCCAUUGCUUCCACUGACAAACUGAACAAAUGAGACUCAGCUCAUUAAAAGGAGGAGGGAGGUGGUCUCAGUAGCCCACACAGCCCAGGGACCAGUUGGCUGAUUCUGAAUUAAAACCUAUUUUGAAUACAGAGGAAUGAAUAUAUUGCCUAUAAAAGACAAACAGGCAGUACACGUGGAUCCGUUUGCAGUUGAAUAUGUUUUGAUAGUUUCGUUUACAAAGCAGUAUUGACGGCACCUUACAACUGAUGGAAAGUCGAAGCUUUUUUUUGGUGAAUUCAUUGGUAACUUGCACUAACGUCUUAGAGCAAGGAUUUACUCUCUUAGGGUGGCAGUGCACGGCUCCAGGGUGUUGAGGUUUUGUGUGCAUAUUUCUGUAUUGCUUUAGACUUUUAAAAAUAGAAUAAAUAAAGAUUAGUUUUUUUUCUGUAUUUGUCUUAUUUUGC